rnacentral:lncRNA from 1 species
UUUAACAUCAAAGAUAAGUAAAGAUUUAGAGUUUCUUUACCCUUGGAGCUCAUCCUUGUUUACACAAGGGAUUCACCCAAGUGGAGAGCCUUCAAGCCAUACUACAUCUCACCAAUCCAUACACUUUCAUCUCUUAGCCGUGCAAAUCCAUUCCAUCCAUAUAUCCAUACACAUCCUAGACACUUGUGCUACAACAAGGUUGUGAAAACAAAGGUCCUUGGCGUUUCAAGCUUGGAACUUUGGAGCGUUUUAGGUGUACUUCAUUCUUGCUUUCAAUGUCUACUUUGUUAUUUUCUAAUUUUGUUGCAAUUAUGAGU